UACGGGGGGAGCAAGCGUUGUUCGGAUUUACUGGGCGUAAAGGGCGCGUAGGCGGCCAGCACAAGUCAGUUGUGAAAUCUCCGAGCUUAACUCGGAAAGGUCAACUGAUACUGUGCGGCUAGAGUGCGGAAGGGGCAACUGGAAUUCUUGGUGUAGCGGUGAAAUGCGUAGAGAUGUGGAGGAACACCGAUGGCGAAGGCAGCCCCCUGGGCUAACACUGACGCUCAUGCACGAAAGCGUGGGGAGCAAACAGG
rnacentral:rRNA from 1 species